GACUGACUGUGGCAUAGUGGCUUGAGUGUUGGACUACUACUCUGGAGACCAGGGUUUGAUUCCCAGGUCAGCCA